UGAGAAUCAUCUAGAAAUAGAGGAGUGCCGUUCGGGGAAUUCAGUGACAGGUGCUGCAUGGCUCUCGUCAGCUCUUGCCGUGAGGUCUUGGGUUAAGUCCCGCAACGAGCGCAACCCCUAUUGCUUGUUGCCAUCACAUAAUGGUGGGCACUCUAGUGAGACUUCCCGGAUCAACCGGGAGGAAGGUGGUGACGACGUCAAGUCAUCAUGGCCCUUAAGUCCAGGGAUACACACGUACUACAAUGGUGGAUACAGAGGGUCGCGAAGCCGCGAGGUCGAGCCAAUCCCAGAAAAUCCAUCCCAGUCCGGAUCGCAGUUUGCAACUCGACUGUGUGAAGUUCGAAUCGCUAGUAAUCCCAGAUCAGCAUGCUGGGGUGAAUACGUUCCCGGGCCUUGUACACACCGCCCGUCACACCACGAAAGCUGGUUGUACCCAAAAUCG
rnacentral:rRNA from 1 species